CUGUGUUGGGUUGACCCACUGCUCUUUGUGUUGGGUUUUCCCAUUCCUCUCUGUGUUGGGUUGACCCACUGCUCUUUGUGUUGGGUUUUCCCAUUCCUCUCUGUGUUGGGUUGUCCCACGGCUCUUUGUGUCAGGUUGUCCCAUUGCCCCAUUAAGGUUGUCCCAUUGCCCCAUGGAGGGUUGUCCCAUUGCCCCAUGGAGGGUUUUCCCAUUGCUCUUCGCUUUGGGUUGUCCCAUUGCCCUGUGUUGGGUUCCCCCGUUGCCCCAUUAGGGUUGUCCCAUUGCUCUUUGCGUUGAAUUCUCCCAUUGCCCCAUGUAGGUUUGUCCCAUUGCUCUUUGUGUUGGGUUCUCCCAUUGCCCCAUUAGGGUUGUCCCACUGCUCUUUGUGUCGGGUUGUCCCAUUGCUCCAUGUGGCGUUGUCCCAUUGCCCCAUGUAGGGUUGUUCCAAUGCUCUUUGCUGGGUUGUCCUAUUGCCCCAUUAGGGUUGUCCCAUUGCUCUUUGUGUCAGGUUGUCCCAUUGCUCUUUGUAUUGGGUUGUCCCAUUGCCCCAUGGAGGGUUGUCCCAUUGCUCUCUGUGUUGGGUUGUCCCAUUGCUCUCUGUGUUGGGUUCCCCCAUUGCCCCAUGGAGGGUUCCCCCGUUGCCCCAUUAGGGUUGUCCCAUUGCUCCAUGUGGGGUUGGCCAUAGCUCAGGUUGGGUGGUACACGUUGCUCUUCACGUUGGGUUCAUCCCAUCGCUCCCCUCGUUGGGGGGCAGACGACGCUCUUCACGCUCAGACAUUUUGGUGUGGGGAGGACGGGGGGCUCGGGGUGGCUGUCGGACCCCUCCUCAAAUUAAAGUCUUCUCCCAAG